ACGGUAACAUCACGUUGAAACACAGGUUCCCGUACGAUCACCGAAGUUAAGCAACGUCGAAUCUGGUUAGUACCAAGAUGGGUAACCGCU